UAAGAAAUUUAAUAUUACACUGUUCAAGGAAAUAUCCUUUACCUGACAUUCUGGGUUGGAUUCCAUCUUUCUGACGGCAGCUCUCCGCUCUGUGGAUCGUCAACUGGAGGAUGCAGGAUGGAGAUGCACACGUCGCCAUUCUGAGGCAAAACAAGAGGGCCCACAUGAAGUAUACCAAGAAGGCCAGAACACAUGGUGUUCGGAGGCCCAAAGAUGGCCACCUCCCAGUUGUAGAGAUCCGACUCCUGAACCAGAGUGAUGCGGAAGCCUUCCACAGGCUGCUCCUGAAGUGACUUCAACUCCAUCAUCAGGGCCUUCUGAGAGCUCGGGGUUGCCUGAUGGGCCAUGCUGAUCCCACUUCUGAAAGAAUAGAAGACCGUGUGAACAAGACCAAAACAAGCUUAUGUUGGGGCCGUGUUAUGUUUCAGAAUUUUUUUACAUUAUUAUGAAGCAGUGAUUUUCAACCACGGUACCAGCGUCCUAUUGUGACAGGCAGAAUGAUCAAUCAUUUCUCAACCAUCACAUUAAAUCAUUUAGUACUUUUUGUUCCAUUAUUGUUUGGGGUGCUGUGACAUGUUGCCUAGGGAAACGCAGAGCUAUGGCAGGCUAGUGAGAAAGAAAUACUUGAUGGCAAAAUAAGCAACAAUUUCACACGUUACACUAUCAUGUACUCUGUAAAGCUAUCGAAGGUCUUUGAUUGGUUCUCUGAUGUAAAUAAAAAGCCACAUUAGGAAGACAA